UAUGGGCUUGUAAGGCUGAGGCAUGCACAGCGAGCCAUACAGGUCACGUCGGCUCUUAUUCAAAUGAGGAGCGUUAAAACAAGCCUCGCCUGUAAUUAGCCCUCCGGCGGUCUCCUUUCUCUUCGUCCAAUGUGUUGUGGCUGCCAAGGUUGAAAGAGGAAAGAAGUAACAAGGGACCCACCCUGUUGAACGGGUUGGCAAGGGUUGACGACGAACGAGUUGAGAAGUAAAAUAUGGUGCGUUGGGCACGCGUACUUUUUAUACAGUCCGAUUGACGUACCAAAUGUACAUGUGCAUGCAGUAUCGAAGAGACGCCGAGAGAUGGCGCUGCGGACGACGGGAGAUUUGCGAAUUAAAAAAGUAGCCGUGACGCAACGUGCCGAAAGUGACAAGGAGGCGCCUCGCUGUCUUUAACAGAACCUCGUCCAAUCGGAUGUCUAACAAUAAGACUUCUUCUGCCUCCUUGGCUGCCUUCUACACUGCUCGUUUGGACUACUUGGCUGGCUUUGUCGUUAAACGCCUACUUCAAUGUUACUUCCUGGCCAAGCUUGCUUAUGACGGAACCUUCGGGCACGUAUACUUAACACUCUCUUUGACUCUCUUUCUCUCAUUCUCGUCACGAGUCUCAAGGACUUCAGAGCGUUUAGAGAAACGUUACUGGUGGAGAGGAUAUAGCUAAGGAAACUUCGAAAACUGUUCAUCCCUCUGCGAGGAGAUUUACGGAAUACACCAUCGUCCCUAUAGAAUUUAAGGUAUGACGCAGACUUGCCUUGAGGCCCAGUGCAGUUGUGAAUUUUUCAAAGUUUUUCGGGCGUCGUUGUACGCAUUUUAAAAUUAACCUCGUGCAUUAUCUCGAGUCAUCUCUAGACGCGAAUCAGCUGGGGUGUCGCGAAUACGAGGUACAGGUCGUUUGGAAUCUCGGUCGUUCGGGAUCUCGGAAAGAUUUCUGUAAACAGGAAGUAUCUACGUACUAAUAAUCUCCGGCUUUUAGGUUCCACGAUGACAUGCAUCCUUGAUUUGCAUCCUGAGCAACGUUCUUCAAUAUUUACGAAGGACAUAAAUGAACCAGGAUACCUACGCUCUGAGUAGUUUAACUAUACUCGACCUACAAUAGGAACAGUGCCAACGUUAAUAUCUCACAACCUGUGGAGCCGCGAAUCACGAUGAGCACCAGGAGUCAGGCACCUGUUCCUAGGAUUUAUUUAGAAGCCCAGCUGCAACCCUGAUAAGACAGCAGUGAGCAUGUAAAUAGUCUACGUUGCCGCUUCCUCCAUAUGCCAGGGGCCGUCCCGACGCCCUAAAGACCGUGCGAUCUUCCGUACUCACGUUCAACUGUAUUCAACUUGGUCGACGCCUUGGAGCUAACUUCAGAUCGGAGGUUCAGCACGGUUGGACCUCGGAGAUGAGACGCGAAUUCGUGACGGGAAUGAGGGAAGUCCUGGUUCACAGGAAAACUCGGAGGAAAGGGGUUGUUUUACGUCUAACUGGUAAACUCUUGGUGAAAGUUCGUGACGCGACAUAAAAGCACAGUAAGAAACUUAUUAUGGUAUAAUAUAACGAACAAGGAAAAAGCAGACUAAAUAUACAUUCACAGUCACACGCAGCAUUUUCAAUACUUUUUCUAUCGUUAUAAAGAAUACAUUUGACUCUAAACGUAGUUCUAAAUGUCGUUCUAAUGUUUCGAAUUGUUUCGCACUAGAGAUUCAAGAACAUUUCCCCGAGAAGAGAAGGAUAUAAUGGGAUUUGAGGUUCCUCUGGUCAGCUUGUGGCCAUCCUGGACCGAAAACUACAACGGCAGGAAGCUGGUACUAAUGCAUGAUAGUAUUUUAAGCGUUAAGACCGACUAAUUGCCGGAAGGAAGUCCUGACUCUAGGUACUAAUUGUUACACAAUCUCCACACACACAUAUAUAUAUAUAUAUAAAUCUAGUAAAGAUGGUCUACUGAUUCUACAA